rnacentral:rRNA from 1 species
GAUGAACGCUAGCGGCAGGCUUAACACAUGCAAGUCGAGGGGGAGAAGUUGCUUGCCACUUUGAGACCGGCGCACGGGUGCGUAACGCGUAUGCAAUCUACCUUAUACAGAGGGAUAGCCCAGAGAAAUUUGGAUUAAUACCUCAUAGUAUAAUUGAAUGGCAUCAUUUAAUUAUUAAAGUUCCAACGGUAUAAGAUGAGCAUGCGUCCUAUUAGUUAGAUGGUAAGGUAACGGCUUACCAUGGCAACGAUAGGUAGGGGUCCUGAGAGGGAGGGCCCCCACACUGGUACUGAGACACGGACCAGACUCCUACGCGAGGCCGCAGUGAGGAAUAUUGGACAAUGGGCGCAAGCCUGAUCCAGCCGUGCCGCGUGCAGGAAGAAGCAUCUAUGGUGUGUAAACUGCUUUUGUACGGGAAGAAACACCCCUUCGUGAAGGGACUUGACGGUACCGUAAGAAUAAGGAUCGGCUAACUCCGUGCCAGCAGCCGCCGUAA